rnacentral:lncRNA from 1 species
CUUCCUUCCUUCUUCUUUUUUUUCCCCCAUGUGUAUUUAUGAAUUUCUUUCACAAUAAUUCAAACAUUCACAUUCAUACAAGUAUACCAUAAGCCCAACAUUGACCCUUAUCCUUCUAGAUCCUUUAAGCAGAAUUAAGUAGAAAAUUGCUGCUUCCUUUAGAGGUGCAAGAUAUAGGUCAUCUCUAUGGUCACACAUCUACCCCCCCCCCAUUUUAUCUGUGCUUUUAGUGUCUAUACAGAUUGUGGUAUGGUUGUGUGGCUUUCUUUGGCCAAAGGGACCAUAGAAAAUGUGACAUAAGCAGAGGCUUGAAAAAUACCUGUGCACUGAGGCUUCAUCUCUUGCCACCCUUUGAAACCCUGAGGCCAUGUGAAGAAGCCCGGGCUAGCCUGUUGAAGGGUGAGAACAUCACUUCAGCUGAUAGUGAGCCUACUGCCAGCCACAAGAAUGAGGCCCCUCUUGUUUGUUCAUUUCCGUCAAGUCAACUCAACCAGAACAGCUGCACUGUCCAGCCUACCCACAGAAUUGUGGGAAAUGAUCGACGGUUGAAAGCUAUUAAGUUUUGGGGUGGUUUGUUACAUAGCCAAAACCGUGUAGCAAAUAAUAACCAACCUCGUUAUGUUUCUCCUUUAAGCUUUGUUAUUAGGGAUGCCUUUCCUUGAAUGUUAGGCAUUGUUUGGAUAUAUGAUUAUUAACUGUUUUACGAUGACCAGCUUCUGUUUGUGGUCAAGCAUCUUAGGAAGUUUUCCUGAGUGGUCAUGGCGACCCUUUAUAAAGGUUGCUUCUAGUGUGCUUGUGGAUGGGUUUCAUGGCAAGCAAUGUCCCAUUCCAGGGAGCAAGGUCCUCAGGGCAAGAACCCCAAACAGGGCUUGGCACAUGUGGCGCACCCCGCCCCUCCCCUUCCUCACCCCACAGGCACUUUUCCUAAUCUCUGAGGCUGGUUAAAUCCUUACUUCUAUCUUCACGUCCAUUAUUAUUGCUAUCAUAACCUCACUUCCUCGAUGCCUCCUUCAAAUUAGCAUCUGUCUUACAAUGAGUCUACAAAAGAAAAGCUAUUAGUAUUGCCCACCCCCGCCCCCUCCCCCUUCUUUUGGCUGUGCCCUGGGCCAUGCAGAAGUUCCUAGGCCAGGGAUCCAACCCAUGCCAUAGCAAUGACAACACUGGAUCCUUAAUUGAUAGGCCACCAGGGAACUCCUGCUUCUUCUUUGAGGUAAAAGAGAUAUUAGGUAAAAUGGGAAUUCUGUUAUGACAGGCUUGUUCUGCUGUGAGGCCAGUCUUAGCCCCUUCACCCUUGAUUAGAUCCCCUUUUUGCUCCAAUCUAUUGUGGACUCAACCAUCAUGCUGGUGCUUCAUCAUUUAGUUCUCAUUUCAUUCCAACAAAGCUCCCAGAGACUUAUCAUCCAUCAGAAUAAUCCCUUUACAGCACUCACCUCAACUUGGCACUCUCCGUUCCCAAGUUCUCAGGGCCCCCCACGCUCUAUGGGUAAAGUCUCAGUCCUUCAGCCAAGCCUUUAGGGCCUUCCAGAAUUUGGCCUCGCUCUGCUUUACCAACGGGGCAUCUCCUCUGUGAAGUUCUCCACCACCUGGGCCCAUGGAGCAGUCUGGGUCUCAGUCACUCGUCCGUUAUUGAUGACAUGCAAUGUGUGAAGUCAAUUCUCAAGCUUGAGUUUUCCAAUCCUCCCAGAUUUGACUAUGUGCUCCUCACGGGACAGAUUCUAGGUCGCCACACCUCCCAAAGGGCCUAGACAGUGGCUUGUUUGAGGCCAGUGCUCAAUACACAGCCAGCAGCGCAUUGGUUUCUAAACUCCGAAAACAGCAUUUCUCAAAGUGGGGUGCCUACACUCCCGCACAGAGUAACUUGGGAUGUUUAUUAAAGCAUGCUCUGUCUCCUGGGCUCCUUCUCAGACCUACUGAGUUUGCCUUUCUGGGCUAAGGCCCAGGAAUCUACAUGGUGAGCAAGCUUCCCUAGGAUCUUCAUGCUCCUAAAACCCCGACACUCCUUCUAUGACUGUAGGUCUUCAAGGGAGAAAAUGCUGUCCAUAUAUGCAGGGCCUGGUGGGCUCCUUUCCUUAGGUAAAACGUAGGGAUCCCGAACUUACUGAAACUUCUAGACUCUGGAAUUGAGAUUUUUGGUGGGGGUGGGGGUGGUGUGCCCUUGGGAAGAUGGGUUUGAAAAGGCAUGACGAGAAGAUGAUCGCAUGAUUUAUCUUUGGGAAGAACCCCUUUGUUCUUAUGAUAAAAACUACAGAAAAACUGAAGUGUGACCAAAUCUUCCUGUGCCAAGACCUGCUGAACUAUAUGGU